AUGCUCACUGGGGUGGGAUGGGGUCCUGCCCACAUCACUGAUGGGAGCGAUCCUGACCCUCAGUUCAAGGCACCUGGAGGAGCCCGUGGCCAGCCUGCCUGCUCAGCCACCAUUCUGAGAGCUUCCCAAGUUAAAGCAGGGCCUGGAACACAAAACUUUUGGGUCAGCAGGCUGAAAGAAGAGCUUGAAGACACCAAGAGACAAACAGUAUCUGCUGCUCCGCUCCCUGGCACUGCGGGGAACGUCCUGCCACCAGCAGCAGCUCCAUGUCACUCUGCAUCCACCAGGAGCGGGCAUCCUCCUCCCUACACCUGCCCUUGCCUUGAGUGGAGCUGCAUGCCUCAAGUGAGAGAUUGUCCCCAGGGAUGGUUCAUACAGACCGAGCUGGACCAAGGUGCUGGUGGUGUCUGUAUGCCUGGGACCGACGUCUCCUCGAGCUCUAUGGCAAGCAGUGCUCCCCUCCCAUCCCAUCCCAUCCCGGCAUCACCCAUGGGGCACCAACGUGACGCUGCCACUUCUGGCACCGGACACCACGUGCAGAAAAAUACGUGCAGCAGGAACACAUCUGUGGAGCUCUGCAUUGGGAACAUCACCUUCAGCGAUUUUGUGCAGCACCUCCCUGACUUCCAGCAGCUUUUUCCUGGUGCCUUUCCUUACUGCGAGCAGUGGUGGAAGCAUGGAGAGGAAAGGAUCCAAAUUCUUGUCUCAGGAUGCUUACAAGUCCUUCAGCAGUGUGAAAGUGGAGAUGAGAAAGCGAAACCCAAAGCAAAUGGAAAGCAACUUCUGGCUUCCAUGCCGUGGAAGGAUGCUGCCUUGUCUCCAGAACCAAGAAAGAUGCGCGAGAGCAGAGAGAAGAUGAGAGGGAGGCAUCCUUGAGGAGAGCACGGGGAUCGCCAGCUGCUCGAGUUGGGCACUGCAUCUGGAUGAAGGCAGAGGGCAGCCGGACCCCACGAGUUUCCAGGAAGCCCCUUGCUCUCGGGGCUGUUUGUGCCACGUUUCACGUUCCAGCUCCCACUGUUGCUUUCGUUCAACAUAUUUGCAGCGAUGAAGUCAUGGAGUGAUCUGUAACGGCCCCACGUCAUCCGGGCCUGGCUGCUGUCGCGCCCAAGAGCGUGAAUGUUCCACUCUGUGCCAUGGGGCUUGGCGGGCGCGUGCGGAGCGGGGUCACGGGCCGAGCAGCGCGGUGACUCAGGCUGCCAUGGGAGAGCCAGGGCACUGGGCUGCCCUCCCAGCGUGGGGCUGCGGUGCUGCUCUGAUUCCGGGUCAUGCCUUUUCGUUUUCAUCCAUCUGCGCUACGCAAGGGAAAAGCUAACUCAGGUUUUGCGUUGCUCUGGGUAUUGCUGGGACUCAUUAUCCCAUUAUGGGCUGGAAACUGGAACAAAAGUCGGGGAGAGCGUUGGGUCAGCCCGUACAGGGGCUGGUGUUUUUUUGUGUGUGUGCAGGGCGUGAUGCCUGCUUGCAGCUUCGCUUUGUGCUUAGUAUCUCUGUCCCAUCCCAGGUGCUCAGCUCUGGCAAUGUAAAGCCGGCAGUGCAUGAAGCAGAGAUACUAACAGCUCGGGAGUGGCCUGCAAUGCUGAGAGCCCCCUGGGAAGAGAUAAUUGCCAGUGUAAAUGAGGUCUGUGCGUGGAAGAGAGAAAGGCUGACUGCAGGGUGGGGGGCUCAGCCUGGAGGAGCAGAGGGGCAGGGUGUUGCCAAGCAGAGGGUGCUGGUAGCGUUGUGCUCGGGGCUGGGUGCUCCAGGGAUCUACCAGGAGCGAAGCUUGGCCCUGCUCCUUCUCCAGGGGGGGAAUGAGGGAUUAAAAAGAGUGGUGGCACAACUCAGGCAUCCAUCCAUCCAUCCCCCUGUUUCCUUCGUACUUGUGGAGCUGGGGGCCAUGUCACUGUCACACCAGGCUGGUGGCAGGGAGGGGUCUCCUUUGCACAGCCAAAUGCCUGUGGCUGCAUUCCACAGCUCCAGAAAGCUGCACAACGAGGGAGAGAUCAGAAUAUGCGAGCUGGAGCCUUGCCCAAAGUCUUUUGUUUUCUCGUAAUGGUUCCCUUUAAUUUAAAGCUGUUUUUCGUGUCUCUGCAGCUGCUGAGAAGCAAUGCUUUUGUAGCACUGUGAUAUCAUGACAGCUUGUAAGGACAAGAGAUGGAAAAAUAAACCUUAUUUUUGGUAUUAAAAAUGUGAUCUU
rnacentral:lncRNA from 1 species